ensembl:lncRNA
GUAAUUGAGUAUAGGUUAUCAGACAUAGAAUUCACAUCAAAUAGACUUUUAACAGUUGAAAAUAAACCUACCCUUGAAAAUAUGUUAAGAGAAAAAUUCAUUGGUUGUCUAGACUAAUUGCUCUCACUUGCUUAGUAACUAAUUAUCCUGGGCAUGUUACCACUUUUUAUCAUUGCCUCCUUUUCACUACUGUUUACAAAAUGUCAUGGAACAAUAUCUUUAGGAAGAGGAAAAAAAAUAGAAAUUUUAACUGUAGUAGAUAUCUACCCCAGAUGUCAUGUUAUAAAGUACUCUUUUGCCUGGAUCAGCAGGAAGCUCUGGAGGAAAUAAAGAACCAUAAACUAAAGUAAUUGGUUUUCCAAAUAAAAUACAAACUUUCUCUUAUAUAUCAUUGUUACUGAGUAUUUCAAACAUACAAUAAAAGCACGGCCUGUAGCCAGACUUUUCUGGAGCCUGGCCGCUUCAGCAAAUUGAGUUGGAUUUCCUCCCCUAUAUACUUUCCUGGGCUGUGCUUAGUUGUGUGAUUAAAAAAAAAACACGGCCUGUAGCCAAACUUUUCUGGAGCCCGGCUGCUUCAGCAAAUUGAGUUGGAUUUCCUCCCCUAUAUACUUUCCUGGGCUGUGCUUAGUUUUGUGAUAAAAUCCAAUGACAACUUCCCUAGCUUUAUUUUGGGAUACAUACCUAAGCAGGGAGAUCCACGAAAUGAGGCUUCAAACAGAACUUGCUGAUGGUAUUCAUUUCCCCAUUGGCACAGGUCCAUCUUAUUAGAAAAGACAUGAUUGUAACCUGGCAACAUGACUCCCUGUUCCCAUAAUACCAUGACUGUGCUGGGAUUUCAGGCCCCUUUAAGGGGUUUUCUCAAGAAUUUCAUUCAAACUGUCAUUAGAAGGAGUGUCUUCCCAAGGCUGCUCUCUGUAGUCAUGCUCCCCUUACCUGUUUACCUUAAAUUUCUUUUUUGACCUUCCACUGGCUUCUAAGGAUCAUCUUUACCCUCCCUACCCCUUCCCUGAGCCGCCAGAGAAUUCAAAGCACAGCUUCCUCUGGCUCUCUCUCUUGUUGUCUUUUACCCACAAUGUUAGUGUAUAAUUUCCUGGGGAGGCUAGAGAGUGUUACUAGUGCAGAGUCUCAAGACUUUUUCUUUUCCCCUAUUCAAAUCCAGUAGUUGACUUUUGUUAACCACUGUAGGAAGAUUUUGGUGCAGAUGUGUCCCUGUGAGAAAUGCUGCUAAACUAUUGCUGUGCCACUAAAAAUGCUCUCCUGAAAGGUACUCAUAGCCUCCUACUUGCCAGUGAGAACUCCAGUAACCUUGGCAGCACCCUGAACUUGGUUCAUCUGCUGUCCUUUUUUCAGUUGGAUGGAUACUACUAUAAUUGUAAAGUUCUGGUCUGUACCUGCCCAAUUCUGUCUGUUAUUCCUCCACCACUCAAAAAGAUUCUUCCUCAAAUCCAUGUGUUCUGCUCAGUCUCUAUCCCCAGAAUAUCUUUCUGGUACCUCAAAAUCAAUGCACUUAAAAAUGAAACUCUUAUGUCUGUACCUACCAUUUAUUGUUUCUUCCUUAAAAGCAUCAUUUUCAACGCAGAAUCCCUCAUCCCUCAGUUGUCACUGCUUGUAUCAUUUCUUUCCCCCUCCAUCCUUCAACAUACUUCCUUUCAGCCCCUGAUCCUCUGACUCACCUGGAUGCUGUUAGUAGCUUCCUAACUCAUCUGCCUGACUAACGUCCUCUUGCAUUCUUUUUUGUUCUGCCAAAACACAAUUUUGCUAAUUUAAAUAUCCUUUGCUUCAAAACUUGUUCCCCUUUGAAUAAAUCUGCAAGCCUGCAUCCAAAACCCUCCAUAGGCUCAGCCCCACCUCCUUUUCCAAUUUUGCCAUCAGUUACAGGCAUCUCUCCCUGCGUCCCCACCCACAUCUUAUUUACCAUCAGUUACAGGCAUGUCUCCCUGCAUCCCCACCCACAUCUUAGCAUGCUGUGCUUAAUUAUUUCAUAUUUCUCAAGUAACCUUGAAGGCCAAAAUUUUAAAAGCGCCUCACCCAUAAAGACUUCAUCAACCCCCAGAGUACCUCUGUAACCUAACAGCAACCCAAACUUCCAUGGUAGUACAUGCAUGGUUGGGCACGUCGAACAGUGAGGAAUCACUGGGAUUUUUCUUUUUUUCCCAUAAUCAUUACCUGAUGUGGGCAGAUUCAUGGGGAAGAUUGUUUAUCUUUGUGCCUCUGCCAUGUAGUAGUUGCAUAAUAACUUUGUUAAAGGAUUAGCUCUAUUUUUCCACUAGCUUGUCAAUCACUACCUGAUGAAUGAUUGAAAAUGACUCAGCGUGCCAUAGAAUGUUCAAUGAAGCUUCUCUUUUUUCCACUAAAGAUGGCCUCAGUCUCCUCUCCCUCCUCCCCCAAAAAGGUUUUUAUUUUAAAUAUUUGAAUAUUUAGUGGCUAAAGAACUUGCUCUUGGAGGAAGUGGCUCCCCAGAAUAACCGGCUCUGUCAUUUCAGCCUGUGAAACUGUAGGUUACUAAGAGGGGAAGGAUGAAAAGAACAAAGUCCUUGAAGGCAAGAUUUUCCUGCUUUAUGGAUGUGCUCUGGCAACCAGGAGCCUCUGUGCAGGCAGCCUCUGUGGCUACACUCCUCUCCCAGUGGAGAUGGGAGCGGGUGUCUUACACCAUCCUGCUGUUGCCAAACCCUCACAUCAAGGAGCUAUUCUUUGCUAAAUACUGUGUUUUUUAUACUAAAUGAAGCACUCACCAUGAUGAAUACCUGUUUUGCCAGAACCUUAUAACCAUUGCUACAAAUUGACCCUUAAGUCAGGAUUCUUAUGUUCAGCUGAACAGGAUCGGGAAUAAUUAUCCUAUCUUCCAGUCUCCAGGAAACCAUAGAAAAUGUGAUGGGCAUGUGUCUCGUAAAUAGUGCACAGAUUGAGGGCACAACCUUCAGAGUUGGAUGACUGGGUCUCAGUCCUGGCCCUGCCCUUCCUUCAGCUUGGAUUAUCAUAUCCAAGACUCAGUGAAGUUGAGAUACAGAUGCUAGGCAACCUGUUGCAAGACAGAAGAGGGAAUCCAUUGAGAGGCUGGAGGUGCUUGUAGUGAUUUCUUUUGCAGGAGUUGACCCUCAUCUACCUCAAAAAGGAGGAGGGGUGUUUUCCCUCAUCUUUGUUUUUUUAAUUAAGAUAAUUCACAUAAUAAAAUUCACCCCUUUAAGGUAUAUAAUUAGUGGCUCUUAGAAUAUUCACAAGAUUGUGCAAGCAUCACAUAUAAUUCCAGAGCAUCUUCAUCACUGCAAAAAAAGAAAACUUGUACCCAUUAAAAGUGACUGUCUCUCCCCGCUCUCCAAGUGCUAACCACUAAUCUACUUACCUACUUUUUGUCUAUAGAUUUGCCAAUUUUGGAUAUUCCAUAUCAAUAGAAUCAUACAACAUGUGGCCUUUUGUGUCUAGCUUUUUUCACUUAGAACAAUGUUUUCAAGGUGCAUCUAUGUUACAGUAUGUUUCAGCACUUCAUUUCUUUUUAUAGCUGAAUAAUAUUGUAUUGCUAUACCAUAUUUUUGUUCAUUUGGUAGAUAUUUGUGUAGUUUUCACUGUUUGGCUAUUAUAAGUACUACAACCAUGAACAUUGUGUACAAGUUUUUAUGUGGACAUAAGCUUUCAUUUCUUUUGGCUAUGUACACAGGAGUGAAUUCCUGGGUCAUAUGCCCAAUCCUUUCAAGGAACUGCCAACUGUUUUCCAACGUGGCUGCACUAUUUUACAUUCCCACCAGCAACUUGAGUUCUUAUUCCUCCACAUCCUGGCCAACACAUAUUAUCUGACUUUGAUUCCAGCCGUCCUAGUGGGAGUGAAGCGAUAUCUCAGUUUUGAUUUGCAUUUUCCUAAUGACUAAUGAUGUUGAGCAUCUUUUCAUGUGCUUUUGGCUGUUUUAUCAUCUUUAGAGACAUGUUUAUUCAGAACAUUUCCCCAUUUUUUGAUUGAGUUGUCUUUUUAUUAUUGAGUUGUUUAAUUUUGAUGCAAGUCCCUUACCAGAUAAGUUAUUUGCAAAUAUUUUAUCCCAUCCUUUGGAUAGUAUUUUCACUUUAUUGAUGGUGUUCUUUGAAGUACAAAAGACUUUAAUUUUGGUGAUGUCCAAAUUAUCUGUUUUUUCUUUUGUUGCUUGUGCUUUUGGUGUCAUAUCUUAAAGAAUCAUAUGUGUCUUGUAGUUUUAGCUCCUAUAUUUAGAUCUUUAAUACAUUUUUGCAUAUGGUGCCUUGUAGGAGUCUAGCUUCAUUUUUUGGCAUGUGGAUAUCCAAUUGUCCAGGCACCAGUUGUUGAAAGACUUACUUCCCUGUGAAUAGUGUUGGCACCCUUAUGGAGAAAUAAUUGACCGUAAAUAUAAGACUUUAUUUCUGGACUCUCAAUUUCAUUCCAUUGACCUAUAUGUCAGUCCUUAUGCCAGUACUACAUUGUCUUGAUUACUGUAGCUUUGUAGUAAGUUUGAAUUUGGGAUGUGUGAAUCUUCUAACUUUGUUCUUUUUCAAGGUCAUUUUGGCUAUUAUGGGUGCCUUGCAGUUCCAUGUGAAUUCUGGGGUCAGCUUAUCAGUUUCUACAAAACAGGCAGCUAGGAUUUUGAUAAGGAUUGUGUUGAAUCUGUAAAUAAAUAUGGGGAAUAUCGCUAAUUUGACAAUAUAAAGGUAUUCAAUUCAUGAAUAUGGAUGUCUUUGCAUUUAUUAAGGUCUUUAAUUUUUUCAUUGAUGUUUCAUAGAUUUCAGUGUACAAGUCUUGGUCUCUUUGGUUAAAUAUUUUCCUAAGUGUUUUAUUCUUUUUGUUCUUUUGGAUUUUCUAUAUACAAGAUCAUGCAUCUGCCAAAUAGAAAUAGUUUGACUUCUUCCCUUUCACUCUGGGUUCUUUUUAUUUCUUUCUUUUCUAAGUGCCCUGGCUAGCACCUCUAGUACAAUAUUGAAUGGAAGUGGCAAGAACAGAUAUCUUUAUCUUAGUCCUGAUUUUAUGAGGAAAGCAUUUAAUCUUUCACCAUUGAGUGUGAUGCUAACGGUAGGUUUUUCAUAGCUGCUUCAAGUUGAGGAAAUUUUCCUUCCCUUUCUAGUUUGUUGAGUGUUUUUUCUCAAGAAAGGAUAUUAGAUUUUGUCAGAUGCUUCUUCUGCUUCUGUUAAGAUGGUCAUGUGGGUUUUGCCCUUUAUCACAUUGAUGGAUUUUGGUAUGUUGUACCAACCCUGCAUUCAUGGGGUUAUCCUACAGGUCCAUGGUACACAAACCUUCUAAUAUGCUGCUGGGUUUGGUUUGUUUGUAUUUUGUUCAGAAUAUUGCCGAAUAAAGGGCACAUUUACC